rnacentral:pre_miRNA from 1 species
ACAACAUUAGAACCGUUAGUCUACCGAGCAAUUUUAUCCGCUCGGUGUAAGAUCUUACCUUUUUUGU